UACGGGGGGAGCAAGCGUUGUUCGGAUUUACUGGCGUAAAGGGCGCGUAGGCGGUCAGCACAAGUCAGUUGUGAAAUCUCCGGGCUUAACUCGGAAAGGUCAACUGAUACUGUGCGACUAGAGUGCAGAAGGGGCAACCGGAAUUCUUGGUGUAGCGGUGAAAUGCGUAGAUAUCAAGAGGAACACCUGAGGUGAAGACGGGUGCUGGGCUGACACGUGACGUGAGGUGCGAAAGCGUGGGGAGCAAACAGG
rnacentral:rRNA from 1 species